CACUCUGGCUUUCUUCAUUAUAAGUCUUUCGCCUUUACUAAAGACUUCCGUGGAGCAGCAGCGUAAAAGAGUUGCACCUAUUUUUGGCAGGGUCUGCGCCUG
ensembl:snRNA U5 U5 spliceosomal RNA